AGAGUUUGAUCAUGGCUCAGGAUGAACGCUGGCGGCGUGCCUAAUACAUGCAAGUCGAGCGAACGGAUAAGGAGCUUGCUCCUUUGAAGUUAGCGGCGGACGGGUGAGUAACACGUGGGUAACCUACCUAUAAGACUGGAAUAACUUCGGGAAACCGGAGCUAAUGCCGGAUAACAUUUGGAACCGCAUGGUUCUAAAGUAAAAGAUGGUUUUGCUAUCACUUAUAGAUGGACCCGCGCCGUAUUAGCUAGUUGGUAAGGUAACGGCUUACCAAGGCAACGAUACGUAGCCGACCUGAGAGGGUGAUCGGCCACACUGGAACUGAGACACGGUCCAGACUCCUACGGGAGGCAGCAGUAGGGAAUCUUCCGCAAUGGACGAAAGUCUGACGGAGCGACGCCGCGUGAGUGAUGAAGGUUUUCGGAUCGUAAAACUCUGUUAUUAGGGAAGAACAAAUGUGUAAGUAACUGUGCACAUCUUGACGGUACCUAAUCAGAAAGCCACGGCUAACUACGUGCCAGCAGCCGCGGUAAUACGUAGGUGGCAAGCGUUAUCCGGAAUUAUUGGGCGUAAAGCGCGCGUAGGCGGUUUCUAAGUCUGAUGUGAAAGCCCACGGCUCAACCGUGGAGGGUCAUUGGAAACUGGGAAACUUGAGUACAGAAGAGGAAAGUGGAAUUCCAUGUGUAGCGGUGAAAUGCGCAGAGAUAUGGAGGAACACCAGUGGCGAAGGCGACUUUCUGGUCUGUAACUGACGCUGAUGUGCGAAAGCGUGGGGAUCAAACAGGAUUAGAUACCCUGGUAGUCC
rnacentral:rRNA from 1 species